GAUGAACGCUGGCGGCGUGCCUAAUACAUGCAAGUCGAGCGAACAGACGAGGAGUUUGCUCCUCUGACGUUAGCGGCGGACGGGUGAGUAACACGUGGAUAACCUACCUAUAAGACUGGGAUAACUUUGGGAAACAGGAGCUAAUACCGGAUAAUAUAUUGAACCGCAUGGUUCAAUAGGGAAAGACGGUUUUGCUGGCACUUAUAGAUGGAUCCGCGCCGCAUUAGCUAGUUGGUAAGGUAACGGCUUACCAAGGCAACGAUGCGUAGCCGAGGUGAGAGGGUGCUCGGCCACACUGGAACUGAGACACGGUCCAGACUCCUACGGGAGGCCGCAGUAGGGAAUCUUCCGCAAAGGGCGGAAGCCUGACGGAGCAACGCCGCGUGAGUUAUGAAGGUCUUCGGAUCGUAAAGCUCUGUUAUUAGGGAAGAACAAAUGUGUAAGUAACUAUGCACGUCUUGACGGUACCUAAUCAGAAAGCCACGGCUAACUACGUG
rnacentral:rRNA from 1 species